CUUUAAUCCUCGUUCCUCUCCGUCACUUUCCGUCAUCUCCGAUUAGGCUCGGCCUGCUGCAUCUCCUUUCCUCUGUGUCGCUCUCUGACAAAUUUCGUGAAUCUUCGUCAUUGUCCGUCAGUUUCCGUCAGUUCUCGCCACUUUCCGUCACUCUCCGCCGCCCUUCAGCUCCGCUCGGCUGUUCUCCGUCAGGCAUCGUCUACUUUCGUCACUCUCCGGCUGCUCCCUACCCCACACUGCAUGGAGAAAGCCGCAGGGACUUUUCCUGCCCUUAGACCUUUUCCGUCACUCUCCAAUCCUGCUGUCUCUUCAGUCCCGGGUUAUUUCUGGUCUGCCCGUGACUCUGUCCUCCUCCCUUCACUCCUGGAAGAGUGGCCUGAUCUCUCCUGAGAGGCCUCUCCCCUCUACCCGGCCUGACUGAUGGUGAUCUCAAUGAGUUGAAAGCUGCCUCUGUGCCGGCAUAAUUCCGUUCUUUGCCUACAUUCCACUCUACUCGGCUGAAAGGAAAUGAUAGUGUCUCACUCUGUCAUCUAUCACCCAGGCUGGAGUGCAAUGGUGCGAUCUCGGCUCACUGCAACCUCUGCCUCCCAGGUUCAAGCGAUUCUCGCACCUCAGCCUCCCGGUAGCUGGCAUUGUAGCAGGACAAGCCACAGAAAUAUUCCUCAGACACCGGGUUAAAGAAAGAAGGGCUUUCUUCGGCCAGGAGGGUCAGCACCCUUGCGUCUUAAGACCCGAGCUCCCCGAAAAAGGAAUUCCUGGGCCUUUUAAGGGUUUAUGACUCUAAGAGGUUCACAUGAAAGGGUCGUGAUAGAUGGAGCAAGCGUGGGGAAUGUGACUGAGGGCUACAUGCAUCAGAUAACAGUACAGAAAGUUUUUCAGUGCUUCCUCAUACAGUGUCUGGAAUUUGCAGAUAACACAAAUAGUUUACGUCUGGGGCUAAUAUUAUUAUUAUUAUUUUAACCUCCAGGGCCGGGUGGUGGUGCCAAGGUCGUCCAGCUAUUUAUCUUACUUCGGGGUUUUUUUUUUUUUUAGCUUUUUGCUUACUCCUUUUUUCCCUGUUUUAUAAACUAAGGAAGGGGUGUGGGGAAGGGAAGGGCAGCAGGAGAAGUGGUGGUCUCCUUCCUUAGGAUUACAGGCACUGGGCUUCAUUCCUUGCUAAUUUUUUUUUUGUGUGUAUUUUUAGUAGAGAUGUGGUUUCACCAUGUUGGCCAGGCUGGUCUUGAACUCCUGGCCUCAGGUGGUCGCCCGCCUUGGCCUCUGAAAGUGCUGGGUUUAAAAGCACAAGGCAGGGUGCCCAGCCAUGUGUUGGCAAUUUAAUCCCCAAAUUCAUGUCCUGAUUGGAGAUGUGGCCUUUGGGAGGUAAUUAGGAUGAGAUAAGGUCAUCAGGGUGGGUCCCCAGUCAUGGGACUCGUGGCUUUAUAUGAUGAGGAAGAGAGACUGGAGCGGACACGCACUCUUGCCCUCUCCUCCCUCGCCGGCACUCUCGCUCUCCCCUCCCCUGCCAUGUGCAGCCCUCCCCAGCCACCAGAACUCGCCCUCCCUUCCCCGGCCAUGAGUGGACACGGACUCCCGUCCUCCCGCCAUGUGCCGCCCUCCACUGGGCGGGGAUGCUCUGGGCCAUGUGCUGCUUGGGGUCCAGGGGCCGCGAGCCUCCGCUGCUCCUCGGCCUCGUGGGCCUGGGCGCUGGGUGGGGCCGCGGGUGCGCCUCAGGGGCCAGGCUGGGCGCCGAGGUCUGCAGAGGGGCGGAGAAGACGGGCUUGGGCUCCGCGCAGAGGCUGCCAGGGGGCGGCGGUGCACCUUCCACCCGGGUCACCUCGGUGCCACCCAUGCCUGCCCCAGGGUAGGCGGACCCACGGCCCUCCACGCCCUCCCUCGCUCGCGUCCUGCCCGGCUGCCGCUGUUCGCAUCCUCUCGGUAACUCCGUGGGGUCCCGCCCAUUCGGGCGACUGCCCAGGCUGCAGCCCGCCAGCUAAUCUCGGCUAUCUUCGCACACUCAGUUCUUCGCCUCCACCAGCUUCGGCUCUUUUCGUCACCUCUCUUUACUCCUCGUUCCUCUCCGUCACUUUCCGUCAUCUCCGAUUAGGCUUGGCCCGCUGCAUCUCACCAUUUUGCUUUCCUCUUUGUCGCUCUCUGAUAAAUUUCGUGAAUCUUCGUCACUAUCCGUUAGUCUCCGUCACUUUCCGUCAAUUCUCGCCACUUUCCGUCACUCUCCACCGCCCUUUAGCUCCGGUCGGCUUUUCUCCGCCAGGCAUCGUCUACUUUCGUCACUCUCCGUCACUCUCCGGCUGCUCCCUACCCCGCACUCCAUGGAGAAAGCCUCAGGGACUUUUCCUGCCCUUAGUCCUUUUCCGUCACUCUCCGAUCCUGCUGUCUCUUCAGUCUCUGGUUAUUUCUGGUCUGCCCGUGACUCUGUCCUCCUCCCUUCACUCCCUGGAGAGUGGCCUGGUCUCUCCUGAGAGGCCUCUCCCCACUACCCGGCCUGACUGAUGGUGAUGGUGUCUCCCUCUGUCAUCUAUCACCCAGGCUGGAGUGCAGUGGUGCGAUCUCGGCUCACUGCAACCUCUGCCUCCCAGGUUCAAGCGAUUCUCGCACCUCAGCCUCCCGGUAGCUGGCAUUGUAGCAGGACAAGCCACAGAAAUAUUCCUCAGACACCGGGUUAAAGAAAGAAGGGCUUUCUUCGGCCAGGAGGGUCAGCACCCUUGCGUCUUAAGACCCGAGCUCCCCGAAAAAGGAAUUCCUGGGCCUUUUAAGGGUUUAUGACUCUAAGAGGUUCACAUGAAAGGGUCGUGAUAGAUGGAGCAAGCGUGGGGAAUGUGACUGAGGGCUACAUGCAUCAGAUUACAGUACAGAAAGUUUUUCAGUGCUUCCUCAUACAGUGUCUGGAAUUUACAGAUAACACAAAUAGUUUACGUCUGGGGCUAAUAUUAUUAUUAUUAUUUUAACCUCCAGGGCCGGGUGGUGGUGCCAAGGUCGUCCAGCUAUUUAUCUUACUUCUGGGUUUUUUUUUUUUUUAGCUUUUUGCUUUCUCCUUUUUUCCCUGUUUUAUAAACUAAGGAAGGAGUGUGGGAAAGGGAAGGGCAGCAGGAGAAGUGGUGGUCUCCUUCCUUAGGAUUACAGGCACCGGGCUUCAUUCGUGGCUAAUUUUGUUUUUUUUUGUAUUUUUAGUAGAGAUGGGGGUUUCACCAUGUUGGCCAGGCUGGUCUUGAACUCCUGACCUCAGGUGAUCGUCGGCCUCGGCCUCUGAAAGUGCUGGGAUUAAAAGCACAAGCCAUGGCGCCCAGCCAUGUGUUGGCAAUUUAAUCCCCAAAUUCAUGUCCUGAUUGGAGAUGUGGACCUUGGCAGGUAAUUAGAAUUAAAUAAGGUCAUCAGGGUGGGUGGCUUUAUAUGAUGAGGAAGAGAGACUGGAGCAGACACGCACGCUUACCCUCUCCUCCCUCGCCGGCACUCUCGCUCUCCCCUCCCCUGCCAUGUGCAGCCCUCCCCAGCCACCAGAACUCGCCCUCCCCUCCCCGGCCAUGAGUGGACAUGGACUCCCGUCCUCCUGCCAUGUGCCGCCCUCCACUGGGCGGGGAUGCUCUGGGCCAUGUGGUGCUUGGGGUCCAGGGGCCGCGAGCCUCUGCUGCUCCUUGGACUCGUGGGCCCGGGCGCUGGGUGGGAACGCGGGUGCGCGUCAGGGGCAAGGCUGGGCGCCGAGGUCUGCAAAGGGGCGGAGACGACGAGCUUGGGCUCCCCGCAGAGGCUGCCAGGGGGCGGCGGUGCACCUCCCACCCGGGUCACCUCGGUGCCACCCAUGCCUGCAUCAGGGCAGGCGGACCCACGGCCCUCCACGCCCUCCCUCGCUCGCGUCCUGCCCGGCUGCCGCUGUUCGCAUCCUCUCGGUAACUCCGUGGGGUCCCGCCCAUUCGGGCGACUGCCCAGGCUGCAGCCCGCCAGCUAAUCUCGGCUAUCUUUCCUCACUCAGUUCUUCGCCUCCACAAGCUUCGGCUCUUUUCGUCACCCCUCUUUACUCCUCGUUCCUCUCCGUCACUUUCCGUCAUCUACGAUUAGGCUCGGCCUGCUGCAUCUUCUCUCAUCUGUGUUGCGCUCUGACAAAUUUCGUGAAUCUUCGUCACUGUCCGUCAGUUUCCGUUACUUUCCGUCAAUUCUCGCCACUUUCCGUCGCUCUCCGCCGCCCUUUAGCUCCGCUCGGCUCAUCUCCGUCGGGCAUCGUCUACUUUCGUCACUCUCCGUCACUCUCCGGCUGCUCCCUACCCCGCACUCCAUGGAGAAAGCCUCAGGGAGUUUUCCUACCCUUAGACCUUUUCCGACACUCUCCGAUCCUGCUGUCUCUUCAGUCCCUGGUUAUUUGUGGUCUGCCCGUGACUCUGUCCUCCUCCCUUCACUCCUGGGAGAGUGGCCUGGUCUCUCCUGAGAGGCCUCUCCCCUCUACCCGGCCUGACUGAUGGUGAUAGUGCCUCGCUCUGUCAUCUAUCACCCAGGCUGGAGUGCAAUGGUGCGAUCUCGGCUCACUGGAACCUCUGCCUCCCAGGUUCAAGCGAGUCUCGCACCUCAGCCUCCCGGUAGCUGGCAUUGUAGCAGGACAAGCCACAGAAAUAUUCCUCAGACACCGGGUUAAAGAAAGAAGGGCUUUCUUCGGCCAGGAGGGUCAGCACCCUUGCGUCUUAAGAGCCGAGCUCUCCGAAAAAGGAAUUCCUGGGCCUUUUAAGGGUUUACGACUCUAAGAGGUUCACAUGAAAGGGUCGUGAUAGAUGGAGCAAGCGUGGGGAAUGUGACUGAGGGCUACAUCCAUCAGAUAACAGUACAGAAAGUUUUUCAGUGCUUCCUCAUAGAGUGUCUGGAAUUUACAGAUAACACAAAUAGUUUAGGUCGGGGCUAAUAUUAUUAUUAUUAUUUUAACCUCCAGGGCCGGGUGGUGGUGCCAAGGUCGUCCAGCUAUUUAUCUUACUUCUGGGUUUUUUUUUUUUUUUUUUUUAGCUUUUUGCUUACUCCUUUUUUCCCUGUUUUAUAAACUAAGGAAGGGGUGUGGGGAAGGGAAGGGCAGCAGGAGAAGUGAUGGUCUCCUUCCUUAGGAUUACAGGCACUGGGCUUCAUUCCUUGCUAAUUUUUUUUUUGUGUGUAUUUUUAGUAGAGAUGGGGUUUCAGCAUGUUGGCCAGGCUGGUCUUGAACUCCUGGCCUCAGGUGAUCGCCCGCCUUGGCCUCUGAAACUGCUGGAAUUAAAAGCACAAGGCACGGCGCCCAGCCAUGUGUUGGCAAUUUAAUCCCCAAAUUAAUGUCCUGAUUGGAGAUGUGGCCCUUGGCAGGUAAUUAGGAUUAAAUAAGGUCAUCAGGGUGGGUGGCUUUAUAUGAUGAGGAAGAGAGACUGGAGCGGACACGCACUCUUGCCCUCUCCUCCCUCGCCGGCACUCUCGCUCUCCCCUCCCCUGCCAUGUGCAGCCCUCCCCAGCCACCAGAACUCGCCCUCCCUUCCCCGGCCAUGAGUGGACACGGACUCCCGUCCUCCCGCUCUCCCGCCAUGUGCCGCCCUCCACUGGGCAGGGAUGCUCUGGGCCACGUGCUGCUUGGGGUCCAGGGGCAGCGAGCCUCCGCCGUUCCUUGGACUUGUGGGCCCGGGCGCUGGGUGGGGCCGCGGGUGCGCGUCAGGGGCCAGGCUGGGCGCCGAGGUCUGCAAAGGGGCGGAGACGACGGGCUUGGGCUCCCCGCAGAGGCUGCCAGGGGACGGCGGUGCACCUCCCACCCUGGUCACCUCGGUGCCACCCAUGCCUGCCCCAGGGCAGGCGGACCCACGGCCCUCCACUCCCCCCCUCGCUCGCGUCCUGCCCGGCUGCCGCUGUUCGCAUCCUCUCGGUAACUCCGUGGGCUCCCGCCCAUUCGGGCGACUGCCUAGGCUGCAGCCCACCAGCUAAUCUCGGCUAUCUUUCCUCACUCAGUUCUUCGCCUCCACAACCUUCGGCUCUUUUCGUCACCCCUCUUUACUCCUCGUUCCUCUCCGUCACUUUCCGUCAUCUCGGAUUAGGCUCGGCCUGCUGCAUCUCCUUUCCUCUGUGUCGCGCACUGACAAAUUUCGUGAAUCUUCGUCACUGUCCGUCAGUUUCCGUUACUUUCCUUCAAUUCUCGCCAAUUUCCGUCGCUCUCCGCCGCCCUUUACCUCCGCUCGGCUCUUCUCCGUCAGGCAUCGUCUACUUUCGUCACUCUCCGGUGCUCCCUACCCCACACUCCGGGUGGAGAAAGCCUCAGGGACUUUUCCUGCCCUUAGACCUUUUCCGUCACUCUCCGAUCCUGCUGUCUCUUCAGUCCCUGGUUAUUUGUGGUCUGCCCGUGACUCUGUCCUCCUCCCUUCACUCCUGGGAGAGUGGCCUGGUCUCUCCUGAGAGGCCUCUCCCCACUACCCGGCCUGACAGAUGGUGGUGAGCGGGUCUCGGGGUGAUCUCGAAGGGAGGAUCGGGAGGAGGGUCUGGAGGUGGCCCCGUGGGGGUCCCGACAGGAGGAUCGGGGGUCUGGGGGUGGCGCCAAGUGAAGGAGCGGUCUGGUGUGGUCCUGAGGACAGGAGCAGGGGUCUCGGUUUGGUUUUCAGGGGUGGAGCAUGGGGUCUCUCCGUGGUCUGGAGGGUGGAGCAGGGGGUCUGGGGGUGGUACUUAUGGACGGGACAGGGCUAUUUCUCUUUUUGGUCCGGUUCCCAUCUGCUGAGCUGGGGGUCCUUGUGAUCCUGACAGGUGGGGCAGAAUGGGAGGGUCAAGGCGAGGGGAAGGAAGGAGUGGCGGCCUGGUCCCAGGGGGGUAGGAAAGAGGUUCACGGUUCAGUUCUGAUGUGCGACCCAUCCAUAGGAGAACGGACACCUCUGACUCUCCCAUUCCUGGGCAGUGGCAGGGCCCAGUAGCUGCCUUCCCUGGCUGUCCUCGAGGCUCACUGGAGGAUACUUUUUGUUCAUUGUGGCAAAUUUUUAAAAAUUCUUCUGUAGAUGUCAAUGAGUUGAAAGCUGCCUCUGUGCAGGCAUAGGUCCGUUCUUUGCCUACAUUCCACUCUACUCGGCUGAAAGGAAAUGAUGGUGUCUCACUCUGUCAUCUAUCACCCAGGCUGGAGUGCAAUGGUGUGAUCUCGGCUCACUGCAAUCUCUGCCUCCCAGGUUCAACCUCAGCCUCCCGGUAGCUGGCAUUGUAGCAGGACAAGCCACAGAAAAAUUCCUCAGACACUGGAUUAAAGAAAGAAGGGCUUACUUCGGCCAGGAGCGUCAGCACCCUUGUGUCUUAAGAGCCGAGCUCCCUGAAAAAGAAAUUCCUGACCCUUUUAAGGGUUUACGACUCUAAGAGGUUCAUGUGAAAGGGUCGUGAUAGAUCGAGCAAGCGUGGGGAAUGUGACUGAGGGCUACAUGCAUCAGAUAACAGUACAGAAAGUUUUUCAGUGCUUCCUCAUACAGUGUCUGGAAUUUACGGAUAACACAAAUAGUUUACGUCUGGGGCUAAUAUUAUUAUUUUAACCACCAGGGCCGGGUGGUGGUGCCAAGGUCGUCCAGUUAUUUAUCUUACUUCUCUCUUUUUUUUUUUUUUUUUAGCUUUUUGCUUUCUCCCUUUUUCCCUGUUUUAUAAACUAAGGAAGGAUGUGGGGAAGGGAAGGGCAGCAGGAGAAGUGGUGGUCUCCUUCCUUAGAAUUACAGGCACCGGGCUUCAUUCCUUGCUAAUUUUUUUUUUUUUUUUGUAUUUUUAGUAGAGAUAGGGUUUCACCAUGUUGGCCAGGCUGGUCUUGAACUCCUGGCCUCAUGUGAUCGCCCGCCUCGGCCUCUGAAAGUGCUGGGAUUAAAAGCACAAGGCAUGGUGCCCAGCCAUGUGUUGGCAAUUUAAUCCCCAAAUUCAUGUCCUGAUUGGAGAUGUGGCCCUUGGCAGGUAAUUAGGAUUAAAUAAGGUCAUCAGGGUGGGUGGCUUUAUAUGAUGAGGAAGAGAGACUGGAGCGGACACGCACUCUUGCCCUCCUGCCUCGCCGGCACUCUCGCUCUCCCCUCCCCUGCCAUGUGCAGCCCUCCCCAACCACCAGAACUCGCCCUCCCCUUCCCGGCCGUGAGUGGACACGGACUCCCGCCCUCCCGCCAUGUGCCGCCCUCCACUGGGCGGGGAUGCUCUGGGCCACGUGCUGCUUGGGGUCCAGGGCCCGCGACUCGUGGGCCUGGGUGCUGGGUGGGGCCGCGGGUGCGCGUCAGGGGCCAGGCUGGGCGCCGAGGUCUGCAAAGGGGCGGAGAAGACGGGCUUGUGCUCCGCGCAGAGGCUGCCAGGGGGCGGCGGUGCACCUCCCACCCGGGUCACCUCGGUGCCACCCAUGCCGGCCUCAGGGCAGGCGGACCCACGGCCCUCCACGCCCUCCCUCGCUCGCGUCCUGCCCGGCUGCCGCUGUUCGCAUCCUCUCGGUAACUCCGUGGGGUCCCGCCCAUUCGGGCGACUGCCCAGGCUGCAGCCCGCCAGCUAAUCUCGGCUAUCUUUCCUCACUCAGUUCUUCGCCUCCACCAGCUUCGGCUCUUUUCGUCACCCCUCUUUACUCCUCGUUCCUCUCCGUCACUUUCCGUCAUCUCCGAUUAGGCUUGGCCUGCUGCAUCUCACCAUUUUGCUUUCCUCUUCGUCGCUCUCUGAUAAAUUUCGUGAAUCUUCGUCACUAUCCGUUAGUCUCCGUCACUUUCCGUCAAUUCUCGCCACUUUCCGUCACUCUCCACCGCCCUUUAGCUCCGCUCGGCUUUUCUCCGUCAGGCAUCGUCUACUUUCGUCACUCUCCGUCACUCUCCGGCUGCUCCCUACCCCGCACUCCAUGGAGAAAGCCGCAGGGACUUUUCCUGCCCUUAGUCCUUUUCCGUCACUCUCCGAUCCUGCUGUCUCUUCAGUCCCCGGUUAUUUCUGGUCUGCCCGUGACUCUGUCCUCCUCCCUUCACUCCAGGGAGAGUGGCCUGGUCUCUCCUGAGAGGCCUCUCCCCUCUACCCGGCCUGACUGAUGGUGGUGAGCGGGUCUCGGGGUGAUACCGAGGGGAGGAGCGGGGGUCUGGGGGUGGUCCUGAGAGGGUCCCGAGGGGAGGAUCGGGAGGAGGGUCUGGAGGUGGCCCCGUGGGGGUCCCGACAAGAGGAUCGGGGGUCUGGGGGUGGCGCCGAGGGAAGGAGCGGUCUGGUGUGAUCCGGAGGACAGGAACAGGGCGUCUGGGGGUCCGGAGGGGAGGAGCGGGGGGUCUGGGUGUGGGUUUCAGGGGUGGAGUAUGGGGUCUCCCUGUGGUCCGGAGGAUGGAGAGAGGGUCUGGGGUUGGUCCCGAGGGGAGGAGCGGGGGGUCUCGGUUUGGUUUUCAGGGGUGGAGCAUGGGGUCUCCCCGUGGUCUGGAGGGUGGAGCAGGGGGUCUGGGGUGGUACUUAUGGGCGGGACAGGGCUAUUUCUCUUUUUGGUCCGGUUCCCAUCUGCUGAGCUGGGGGUCCUUGUGAUCCUGACAGGUGGGGCAGCAUGGGAGGGUCAAGGUGAGGGGAAGGAAGCAGUGACGGCCUGUUCCCAAAGGGAGUAGGAAAGAGGUUCAUGGUUCAGUUCUGAUGUGCGACCCAUCCAUAGGAGAAUGGACACCUCUGACUCCCCCGUUCCUGGCCAGUGGCAGGGCCCAGUAGCUGCCUUCCCUGGCUGUCCUCGAGGCUCACUGGAAAUACUUUUUCUUCAUUGUGGCAAAUUUUUAAAAAUUCUUCUAUAGAUCUCAAUGAGUUGAAAGCUGCCUCUGUGCCGGCAUAGUUCCGUUCUUUGCCUACAUUCCACUCUACUCGGCUGAAAGGAAAUGAUAGUGUCUCACUCUGUCAUCUAUCACCCAGGCUGGACUGCAAUGGUGCGAUCUAGGCUCACUGCAACCUCUGCCUCCCAGGUUCAAGCGAUUCUCCCACCUCAGCCUCCCAGUAGCUGGCAUUGUAGCAGGACGAGCCACAGAAAUAUUCCUCAGACACCGGGUUAAAGAAAGAAGGGCUUUCUUCGGCCAGGAGGGUCAGCACCCUUGCGUCUUAAGAGCCGAGCUCCCCGAAAAAGGAAUUCCUGGGCCUUUUAAGGGUUUACGACUCUAAGAGGUUCACAUGAAAGGGUCGUGAUAGAUGGAGCAAGCGUGGGGAAUGUGACUGAUGGCUACAUGCAUCAGAUUACAGUACAGAAAGUUUUUCAGUGCUUCCUCAUACAGUGUCUGUAAUUUACAGAUAACACAAAUAGUUUACGUCUGGGGCUAAUAUUAUUAUUUUAACCACCAGGGCCGGGUGGUGGUGCCAAGGUCGUCCAGCUAUUUAUCUUACUUCUGGUUUUUUUUUUUUUUUUUUUUAGCUUUUUGCUUUCUCCUUUUUUCCCUGUUUUAUAAACUAAGGAAGGGGUGUGGGGAAGGGAAGGGCAGCAGGAGAAGUGGUGGUCUCCUUCCUUAGGAUUACAGGCACCGGGCUUCAUUCCUUGCUAAUUUUUCUUUUUUUUUUUGUAUUUUUAGUAGAGAUGGGGUUUCACCAUGUUGGCCAGGCUGGUCUUGAACUCCUGGCCACAGGUGAUCGCCCGCCUUGGCCUCUGAAACUGCUGGAAUUAAAAGCACAAGGCACGGCGCCCAGCCAUGUGUUGGCAAUUUAAUCCCCAAAUUCAUGUCCUGAUUGGAGAUGUGGCCCUUGGCACGUCAUUAGGAUUAAAUAAGGUCAUCAGGGUGGGUGGCUUUGUAUGAUGAGGAAGAGAGACUGGAGCAGACACGCACUCUUGCCCUCUCCUCCCUCGCCCGCACUGUCGCUCUCCCCUCCCCUGCCAUGUGCAGACCUCCCCAGCCACCAGAACUCGCCCUCCCCUCCCCGGCCAUGAGUGGACACGGACUCCCGUCCUCCCGCCAUGUGCCGCCCUCCACUGGGCGGGGAUGCUCUGGGCCACGUGCUGCUUGGGGUCCAGGGGCCGCGAGCCUCCGCUGCUUCUCGGCCUCGUGGGCCCGGGCGCUGGGUGGGGCCGCGGGUGGGGGUCAGGGUCCAGGCUGGGCGCCGAGGUCUGCAAAGGGGCGGAGACGACGGGCUUGGGCUCCCCGCAGAGGCUGCCAGGGGGCGGCGGUGCACCUCCCACCCGGGUCACCUCGGUGCCACCCAUGCCUGCAUCAGGGCAGGCGGACCCACGGCCCUCCACGCCCUCCCUCGCUCGCGUCCUGCCCGGCUGCCGCUGUUCGCAUCCUCUCGGUAACUCCGUGGGGUCCCGCCCAUUCGGGCGACUGCCCAGGCUGCAGCUCACCAGCUAAUCUCGGCUAUCUUUCCUCACUCAGUUCUUCACCUCCACCAGCUUCGGCUCUUUUCGUCACCCCUCUUUGCUCCUCGUUCCUCUCCGUCACUUUCCGUCAACUCCGAUUAGGCUCGGCCUGCUUCAUCUCACCAUUUCGCUUUCCUCUUUGUCGCUCUCUGAUAAAUUUCGUGACUCUUCGUCACUGUCCGUCAGUCCCCGUCACUUUCCGUCAAUUCUCGCCACUUUCCGUCGCUCUCCGCCGCCCUUUAGCUCCGCUCGGCUCAUCUCCGUCAGGCAUCGUCUACUUUCGUCACUCUCCGUCACUCUCCGGCUGCUCCCUACCCCGCACUCCAUGGAGAAAGCCUCAGGGACUUUUCCUGCCCUUAGUCCUUUUCCGUCACUCUCCGAUCCUGCUGUCUCUUCAGUCCCCGGUUAUUUCUGGUCUGCCCGUGACUCUGUCCUCCUCCCUUCACUCCUGGGUCUGGUCUCUCCUGAGAGGCCUCUCCCCACUACCCGGCCUGACUGAUGGUGGUGAGCGGGUCUCGGGGUGAUCCCGAGGGGAGGGGCGGGGGGAGGGUCUGGGGUGGUUCCAAGGUUUGGAGCGGGGAUGGGGUCUGGAGGUGGCCCCGAGGGGAGGAUCGGGGGUCUGGGGGUGGUCCUGAGGGAAGGAGCAGUCUGGUGUGGUCCGGAGGACAGGAGCCGGGGUUCUGGGGUGGUCCCGAGGGGAGGAGCAGGAGGUCCGGGGGUGGUUCUGAGGGGUGGAGCGGGGGUCCGGGGGUGGUUUUCCUCAGACACCGGGUUAAAGAAGGACGGGCUUUAUUCGGCCAGGAAUAUCGUCACAUUUGCGUCUUAAGAGCUGAGCUCCCCGAAAAGAAAUUCCUGGCCCUUUUAAAGGUUUAUUACUCUAAGGGGUUCACCUGAAAGGGUCGUGAUAGAUGGAGCAAGCGUGGGGAAUGUGACUGGGGGCUACAUGCAUCAGAUAACAGUACAGAAAGUUUUUCAGUGCUUCCUCAUACAGUGUCUGGAAUUUGUAGAUAACACAAAUAGUUUAGGUCAGGGGCUAAUAUUAUUAUUUUAACCUCCAGGGCCGGGUGGUGGUGCCAGGGUCGUCCAGCUAUUUAUCUUACUUCUGUUUUUUUUUUUUUUUUUAACUUUUUCUUUCUCCCUUUUUCCCUGUUUUGUAAACUAGAGAAGGGGUGUGGGGAAGGGAAGGGCAGCAGGAGAAGUGGUGGUCUCCUUCCUUAGGAUUACAGGCACCGGGCCUCAUUCCUGGCUAAUUUUUUUUUUUGUAUUUUUAGUAGAGUUGUGGUUUCACCAUGUUGGCCAGGCUGGUCUUGGGCUCCUGGCCUCAGGUGAUCACCCGCCUCGGCCUCUGAAAGUGCUGGGAUUAAAAGCACAAGGCACGGUGCCCAGCCAUGUAUUGGCAAUUUAAUCCCCAAAUUCAUGUCCUGAUUGGAGAUGUGGCCUUGGUCGAUAAUUAGGAUUAAAUAAGGUCAUCAGGGUGGGUCCCCUGUCAUGGGCCUGGUGGUUUUAAAAGAUGAGGAAGAGAGACUGGAGCGGACACGCACUCUUGCACUCCCCACCCUCGCCCACACAGUCUCGCUCUCUCCUCCCCGGGCGUGUGCCGCCCUCUGUUAUGCUGUGAUGCUCUGGGCCGUCCCAGCCACGAGAACUGGAAGGGUUACACUUCGUUUAUGAAGCACUCUGUGGUAUUCUGUCAUAGCAACAGAAAUGGGCUAAGAUACAUGGUUUAUAGAUUUUAGGUUUGGGGUUCUUAGGGUGUGGGUCGGAGUUCCAGGCAGGGGUUAAGGAAUAGGGUUAGGGUUAGUUUUAGGGCGGUGGGGAGGCAAUAUAGGCUAAGGUCAGAAUCAGAUCCAGGGCCGGCUCAGAGCUUAGUAUCCUGGAGGCACCUCGUUGUGUUGUACCCAAGCGAGUUACAGAAAACGCGACACUUUGAGACGAAUUAAGAGUCCUUUAUUUAGCUGGCGGACAAAAAGAUGGCUAGCGCUCAAAAUUCUCUCGGCCCGGCAGAAGGGGCUAGAUUUUCUUUUAUACUUUGGUUUAGAAAGGGGAGGGGGGGUCUAGUGAAAACAAUUUUACAGAAGUAAAGUAGGCAAAAAGUUAAAAGGAUAAAUGGUUACAGGAAAGUAAACAGUUCCAGGUGCAGGGGCUUUAAGACUAUUACAAGGUGAUAGAGGCGGGGCUUUGGGUGUUAUCAAUCGGACGAAUUCCUGGGAACUGUGGAUAUUGCUCACCACAGUAUCUUAUGGGCUAAUUGCAUUCUUGGAUGUGUUGGGAGGCAGCUUGCACAAGUUAAGUCCUUGAGGAAGGGGCUGCCAGUGAAGGAGCCAAGAUGGAGUCUGUCUGGCUCUCUUAGCUAAGGGAGAGUCCAUUCAGGUGGGAACAAGGCUAGGUGAUUAAAGGAAAGGGAGAGUCUAAAAACAGGGUGAGUAAAAAUGAGGUUGGGCAUUACUGUCGUACCCUCCAUCGCCUCCUCCAGUCUGAAACGAUUCCAUAACUGGGAAAACGUCAGGCAAGGACUUCCUGGAAUGUGUCCACUGCAACCACCAGGUUUUCCACUGUGUUCUUUACGCCCUGUAACCCUGUUAUCUAGUUUUUCAGCAAUCUUUAUGUUCUUCACCAGCACUCUGAGUACGUGAAAAAGUCCAAGAUGCUUCUUCAGGGGUGAAUUUUGCUACUUUUUAAAGAAGACUCAAAAGGCACUUUUGCAACUCAAAGUCUUUCUUCAAGUGAUGAAAUGUGUUACCUACUUCACUCAUUGCUGUGAUGCAUUUUCCAAUUCUAGAUCCCCUUGGUUUUUGUUGUUGUUUUUUUUCUGUGUGAACUCUGCGUCAUUUACUCACUCUCAACAACAGAAUAAAAGAAAUUGGCCACCA